rnacentral:snoRNA from 12 species
CCUGCCCCUAGAGGCGUUACAGAUGUGACUGCUGUGUCACAUGUGUGUCAAUAGGUGGCAGAGAGAAGAGAGGCUUGUCUACGUCCAGUGCUCUGACCUGUGAGCCACUGGGUGAUUGAUAGUCUGACACU